AGAGACGAAGAGACACAGUGCCAAAGCGCAAGAGCUGCUACCUGGCAAAACUGUAAAGACACAGCUGAAAAUGAUUACAACCUGAGUGCCAGGACGUAGAGGAAGGGGGCGGUCGGAUGCGCUCGUGGUCAUCCUGCAUUUGAAGCCUGAUUGGUCGCCGCAGGCCCCAGAAGAUAUUCAUAAGCAUGAGAGGAGCUGAGAGACAAAGAAGCAAAACAGAGUUAAUAAUUUUCAUCCAUCUGAUUCAGUCUCAUGACUCCUCAUGACCAGCAGCGAGAACAGACACGAAGACGGCAGAAUGGAAAGGAGGAGAGUGACUGCAGGAAGA